ensembl:lncRNA
UGAAAACAUGCUAUUCUUAUAUAUGUGGAUGGAUAAAUCUUUUCAACACAAGGAACAUACUGUACACUCUAAACCACAUGGAGUGACUCCAGCCGCCCUCACUCACUUUUACUUUAAUCAUAUUCAACCUCUGAGAGAGGGUCAGAUGUAAUUAUAGCACACAGUGGGCAUGUUUAAAGAGCUGAUGUGCCAUAUGUGGCCGAGAGAGACAGAGAGUGUGAAUUAGGUUCAAUGCUUCUAAAGGUCAGCUUUGCUCUCCUGAAUGGAAAAACUGUUUUAGUAUGAC